rnacentral:rRNA from 1 species
UACGGAGGAUCCAAGCGUUAUCCGGAAUCAUUGGGUUUAAAGGGUCCGUAGGCGGUUUUGUAAGUCAGUGGUGAAAGCCCAUCGCUCAACGGUGGAACGGCCAUUGAUACCGCAAGACUUGAAUUAUUAGGAAGUAACUAGAAUAUGUAGUGUAGCGGUGAAAUGCUUAGAUAUUACAUGGAAUACCAAUUGCGAAGGCAGGUUACUACUAAUAUAUUGACGCUGAUGGACGAAAGCGUGGGGAGCGAACAGG